UAAGCGACUAAGCGUACACGGUGGAUGCCCUGGCAGUCAGAGGCGAUGAAGGACGUGCUAAUCUGCGAUAAGCGUCGGUAAGGUGAUAUGAACCGUUAUAACCGGCGAUUUCCGAAUGGGGAAACCCAGUGUGUUUCGACACACUAUCAUUAACUGAAUCCAUAGGUUAAUGAGGCGAACCGGGGGAACUGAAACAUCUAAGUACCCCGAGGAAAAGAAAUCAACCGAGAUUCCCCCAGUAGCGGCGAGCGAACGGGGAGCAGCCCAGAGCCUGAAUCAGUGUGUGUGUUAGUGGAAGCGUCUGGAAAGGCGCGCGAUACAGGGUGACAGCCCCGUACACAAAAAUGCACAUGCUGUGAGCUCGAUGAGUAGGGCGGGACACGUGGUAUCCUGUCUGAAUAUGGGGGGACCAUCCUCCAAGGCUAAAUACUCCUGACUGACCGAUAGUGAACCAGUACCGUGAGGGAAAGGCGAAAAGAACCCCGGCGAGGGGAGUGAAAAAGAACCUGAAACCGUGUACGUACAAGCAGUGGGAGCACGCUUAGGCGUGUGACUGCGUACCUUUUGUAUAAUGGGUCAGCGACUUAUAUUCUGUAGCAAGGUUAACCGAAUAGGGGAGCCGAAGGGAAACCGAGUCUUAACUGGGCGUUAAGUUGCAGGGUAUAGACCCGAAACCCGGUGAUCUAGCCAUGGGCAGGUUGAAGGUUGGGUAACACUAACUGGAGGACCGAACCGACUAAUGUUGAAAAAUUAGCGGAUGACUUGUGGCUGGGGGUGAAAGGCCAAUCAAACCGGGAGAUAGCUGGUUCUCCCCGAAAGCUAUUUAGGUAGCGCCUCGUGAAUUCAUCUCCGGGGGUAGAGCACUGUUUCGGCAAGGGGGUCAUCCCGACUUACCAACCCGAUGCAAACUGCGAAUACCGGAGAAUGUUAUCACGGGAGACACACGGCGGGUGCUAACGUCCGUCGUGAAGAGGGAAACAACCCAGACCGCCAGCUAAGGUCCCAAAGUCAUGGUUAAGUGGGAAACGAUGUGGGAAGGCCCAGACAGCCAGGAUGUUGGCUUAGAAGCAGCCAUCAUUUAAAGAAAGCGUAAUAGCUCACUGGUCGAGUCGGCCUGCGCGGAAGAUGUAACGGGGCUAAACCAUGCACCGAAGCUGCGGCAGCGACGCUGAUGCGUUGUUGGGUAGGGGAGCGUUCUGUAAGCCUGUGAAGGUGUGCUGUGAGGCAUGCUGGAGGUAUCAGAAGUGCGAAUGCUGACAUAAGUAACGAUAAAGCGGGUGAAAAGCCCGCUCGCCGGAAGACCAAGGGUUCCUGUCCAACGUUAAUCGGGGCAGGGUGAGUCGACCCCUAAGGCGAGGCCGAAAGGCGUAGUCGAUGGGAAACAGGUUAAUAUUCCUGUACUUGGUGUUACUGCGAAGGGGGGACGGAGAAGGCUAUGUUGGCCGGGCGACGGUUGUCCCGGUUUAAGCGUGUAGGCUGGUUUUCCAGGCAAAUCCGGAAAACUAAGGCUGAGGCGUGAUGACGAGGCACUACGGUGCUGAAGCAACAAAUGCCCUGCUUCCAGGAAAAGCCUCUAAGCAUCAGGUAACAUCAAAUCGUACCCCAAACCGACACAGGUGGUCAGGUAGAGAAUACCAAGGCGCUUGAGAGAACUCGGGUGAAGGAACUAGGCAAAAUGGUGCCGUAACUUCGGGAGAAGGCACGCUGAUAUGUAGGUGAAGUCCCUCGCGGAUGGAGCUGAAAUCAGUCGAAGAUACCAGCUGGCUGCAACUGUUUAUUAAAAACACAGCACUGUGCAAACACGAAAGUGGACGUAUACGGUGUGACGCCUGCCCGGUGCCGGAAGGUUAAUUGAUGGGGUUAGCGCAAGCGAAGCUCUUGAUCGAAGCCCCGGUAAACGGCGGCCGUAACUAUAACGGUCCUAAGGUAGCGAAAUUCCUUGUCGGGUAAGUUCCGACCUGCACGAAUGGCGUAAUGAUGGCCAGGCUGUCUCCACCCGAGACUCAGUGAAAUUGAACUCGCUGUGAAGAUGCAGUGUACCCGCGGCAAGACGGAAAGACCCCGUGAACCUUUACUAUAGCUUGACACUGAACAUUGAGCCUUGAUGUGUAGGAUAGGUGGGAGGCUUUGAAGUGUGGACGCCAGUCUGCAUGGAGCCGACCUUGAAAUACCACCCUUUAAUGUUUGAUGUUCUAACGUUGACCCGUAAUCCGGGUUGCGGACAGUGUCUGGUGGGUAGUUUGACUGGGGCGGUCUCCUCCUAAAGAGUAACGGAGGAGCACGAAGGUUGGCUAAUCCUGGUCGGACAUCAGGAGGUUAGUGCAAUGGCAUAAGCCAGCUUGACUGCGAGCGUGACGGCGCGAGCAGGUGCGAAAGCAGGUCAUAGUGAUCCGGUGGUUCUGAAUGGAAGGGCCAUCGCUCAACGGAUAAAAGGUACUCCGGGGAUAACAGGCUGAUACCGCCCAAGAGUUCAUAUCGACGGCGGUGUUUGGCACCUCGAUGUCGGCUCAUCACAUCCUGGGGCUGAAGUAGGUCCCAAGGGUAUGGCUGUUCGCCAUUUAAAGUGGUACGCGAGCUGGGUUUAGAACGUCGUGAGACAGUUCGGUCCCUAUCUGCCGUGGGCGCUGGAGAACUGAGGGGGGCUGCUCCUAGUACGAGAGGACCGGAGUGGACGCAUCACUGGUGUUCGGGUUGUCAUGCCAAUGGCACUGCCCGGUAGCUAAAUGCGGAAGAGAUAAGUGCUGAAAGCAUCUAAGCACGAAACUUGCCCCGAGAUGAGUUCUCCCUGACUCCUUGAGAGUCCUGAAGGAACGUUGAAGACGACGACGUUGAUAGGCCGGGUGUGUAAGCGCAGCGAUGCGUUGAGCUAACCGGUACUAAUGAACCGUGAGGCUUAACCU
rnacentral:rRNA from 1 species